UGUUUUUCUAUCUUCUAUCUAUUUUUCAUCUGUACAAUCCACUAUCCCUCUCUGAUACUCUCUCCUCUAGAUCUCCCUUCAUUCUCUACCUCUCGUCUCUCUAUAAACCUCGAAGGUGAAUCGUAAUUGAUCUGCGAGGUCUCCUUCUUUUUCUUUGUUUUCUCAGGUACGACAUCAUCCCAAUCCAUUAACCCCUUUCAUUUUUCAUUAAAAAAACCCUAAUUGGCGGAAUCUUUGGAUUCGGUCAACAAGGACUCUCUGUAAUCGCGCAUCUUUCUUCACAAGGGAUCGCUCCAGGUCUUUAAUCUAUCAAUCUACAAUAGCUAUUGUCAAGUUACAUCGAAUCAAGGUCUAGGGUUUCAAAUGCUUCAAGUUCUUCCCAAAUAACUUCCCCUCUCAAGAAGAUUUUCCUUAAUUUUCUAUCGAACUUGGUAGUUGUUGAAUCGCUGCGUAUCGGUGUCAAGAACCUGCCCCGAGAUCUGUUGCAUCUAUGAAUGAGGAAGAUUUGGUAAGGAUGUCUCAUAUCAAGAGAUGAAUUGCUGAUGUGCUUCAACCUGGGGAGACAGUGUUGCAAGCUUUAAGAAGGCUGAAAGGAAGUUCUAAUAGAAAGGAAAAGAUGUCAGCUGAAACAAAAAUUAUGUCUGAUCAACUAACUGAAGAUGCCAUGAAGCUGGUGGAGGAUGGUGACUACAAUGUGUAUGAUGAAAAACAGGAGGUCUUUCAGAGGGAAGCAGAGGGAUUUGAGAACCUAGCAUGUGCUAGAGGGGAAGGGACCUCUUCUAGUUCAGGAAACAAGCAACCUAAUUCCUCUGGAAUGAGUUAUAUAAAACCAUCGUUCUUCCUUGUGUUUGGAUACAUUCAAUGUUGCUGAAAAUUUUAGAAGAUAAUUAGAGUUUUUACAGAAAGGUGCUGAUCCAUUAGACUUGAAAGUUGGAACUGCAACAUCAGUUAGCCUGCAGUUCACUUCGCUGACAGAUCAAUAUACUGACAAGUUUGUGACAAGGUUUAUGUUAUAUACAACAUCACCUAGAUCAAGAUCCCCGUUCUUCUAAGUAUACCCAAUUAGGUGCUCCUGUAUGGGGAUCAAGUUAUUUCUUGGAAGAAUGGGCGUAGAGAAAAACUACUUUCAUGAGCAACAAGUUACAGUUUCCAAAAGCAACAGUUGAAAGCUCCUGAGGUUGAAAACAAUCUUGAAGACAACGAUUCUGUUAAGUAAAAUGGUUCAUUGGAAGUAGAAAAAGGGUAGUUUGCACCACCAUCAGCAACAAGAGAGCAGCCCGUCACAAAAAGUUCAGCGCCUUUUGAGUUGAACCAUGUGGAUCCCACUGCACAAAGAUCUGGGGUUGAAGCUGUGGAGGAUUCAUUUGGUGUAGAAGAUGAAGACAAUGCUUAUGAGGGGCCAGGAACCAAUGGAUUUUCACUAGUAAUGGAUCCUUUUUAUUCCUAAUUAAUACAUUAAAGACGAUUAAAAAAAAACUAGAAAAUUAAAUAGUCAUCGAAAUGCAUGCUUAUUGCACUAGUGUUUUUGAAGGAGAUGAUGCUUCGUCUGCCUUUAUUAAUUACUAUUUUGCACCCAAAAAUGGUAUUGAUGUUGUCUCAAGGACCCAUGAGGCUUCAAUCUAUACAGGUAAAAUCUAUACACGUAAAAUGAUGCUUGGUCAGCCUUUAUUACUAUUUUACUUUCAUGUUGCAAAAGGUUGACAUAAUUGUUGGAAAGCCUCAGAAUUUGAUUAUUUACAUAAGAAACAAAGUGGAGGCCAAGGUCAAUAUGGAAAGGUAAUUGGGUAAGAAAUAACAAACUACUUUCAUGUAUUUUUUUUAAUUUUUUACAUUGUGUUAUACAAACACAAAGCAAUUUUCAUUGCUAUAAUUUCCAAUGUCUUGGUAAGAAAAAAAUAUAUGAAAGUACGUAGCUAAGUAUAAUUGGUUAGAAACUGAGAAAAAGGUUAUUACCUCGCAGCUGUGAAAGCAACAAUGAGUUUCUAUUUAUGUUUAAAGAUAUGUUAUUUUUCUUCUUCAUUGUUUUAAUUAUGGUGUUUGGCUGUAUUCUCUUACCUUUAAGCUUCAAACACAGUACUAUAUGGCAAUGGUAAGCAAUUCUUAACCCACAAAGUGUCUUAAUUCAUUUUUCUGUUUUUAUAAGUUGAAUUUGCACUUUUUAUUGACUUUUGGAUGGGAUGUAGCUGUACUUGGUGACUACCUUAGCUCUUACCACCCAAGCACUUUACUAUGGUUACUUCUGUCAUCAAAAUACAUCAAAAAGGCACGAUCAUAAGAUUGAGUCAGUAGACAAGAAAAUAAAAUGCAACCUAGAAGAGUUAACGACUCCUAUGCUAUCAAAACCCACUCCAAGUUAGCCAAUUCCAGCUGCUGAUUACGAUUCUGCCCCUAAGAGAGUAUACUACAUGUAAUUGUUUUGCAAUUCCAUGACAUUCCUAUUGUAGAUUAGAUUAAUACAAAUUUAUAUAUUGUAAGAAAUAGAAUUGUAUGACAUUAAAUUUUAUGCAAUGGAUUGUAUUUCUUGUA